rnacentral:other from 1 species
GUUAACCCGAUGGCGAGUGAUUUUAGAACCAACGCUCAUUAGCCAGGGGAGCAUCCUGUAAUUGGCGUUGUGCAAGCCCACCAUAGCAGUGGGAAGCCUGAACCGAUUCAUCCGCCCCCCACUUGAACCCCAGGGUUCAAAAUCGAUGACUGUCGGGUUAUAC